rnacentral:misc_RNA from 1 species
GAUGAGAACGUAGCGAAAUGCGAUAGGUAGUGUGAAUUGCAGAAUUCAGUGAAUCAUCGAAUCUUUGAACGCACAUUGCGCCCCUUGGUAUCCCGAGGGGCAUGCCUGUUCGAGCGUCAUUUCACCACUCAAGCCUGGCUUGGUGUUGGGCGACGUCCCCUUUGGGGACGCGCCUCGAAACGCUCGGCGGCGUGGCACCGGCUUUAAGCGUAGCAGAAUCUUUCGCUUUGGAAGUCGGGGCCCCGUCUGCCGGAAGACCUACUCGCAAGGUUGACCUCGGAUCAGGCAGGGAUACCCGCUGAACUUAAGCAUAUCAAUAAGCGGAGGA